rnacentral:rRNA from 1 species
GACGGAGGAUGCAAGCGUUAUCCGGAAUUAUUGGGCGUAAAGCGUACGUAGGCUGUUUUAUAAGUCUGUUGUCAAAGCCCGAGGCUCAACCUUGGAUCGGCAAUGGAAACUGUGAGACUAGAGAGAGAUAGGGGCAGGAGGAAUUCCAGGUGUAGCGGUGAAAUGCGUAGAUAUCUGGAAGAACACCAGUGGCGAAAGCGUCCUGCUGGAUCUCAACUGACGCUGAAGUACGAAAGCUAGGGGAGCGAAUGGG